AGGGCUGUAUUGCAAGUGACUU
rnacentral:siRNA from 1 species